GAUGAACGCUGGCGGCGUGCCUAAUACAUGCAAGUCGAGCGAACGGACGAGAAGCUUGCUUUUCUGAUGUUAGCGGCGGACGGGUGAGUAACACGUGGAUAACCUACCUAUAAGACUGGGAUAACUUCGGGAAACCGGAGCUAAUACCGGAUAAUAUUUUGAACCGCAUGGUUCAAAAGUGAAAGACGGUCUUGCUGUCACUUAUAGAUGGAUCCGCGCUGCAUUAGCUAGUUGGUAAGGUAACGGCUUACCAAGGCAACGAUGCAUAGCCGACCUGAGAGGGUGAUCGGCCACACUGGAACUGAGACACGGUCCAGACUCCUACGGGAGGCAGCAGUAGGGAACCUUCAGCAAUGGGCGAAAGCUUGCCGGAGCAACGCCGCGUGAGUGAUGAAGGUCUUCGGAUCGUAAAACUCUGUUAUUAGGGAAGAACAUAUGUGUAAGUACCUGUGCACAUCUUGACGGUACCUAAUCAGAAAGCCGCGGCUAACUACGUG
rnacentral:rRNA from 1 species